GGAUGUGAGGAUGAUAUGGCUGUAAUGUCUGUCACCGCAUUGUUCUCUGGGGUUGGGAUUGCUCACCUGGCUGCGGAGGCAGGUGAAGCCUUUGUCCCUCACCUCUCCCACCGUGCGCAUCCCUCCCGAAGCUGAAGCUGCUGGCUCACACUCUGCCUGGGUGGAAGAGGACUGCCCUCGAUCAAGGAGGAUCUUUCCUCAGUUAAAGGUAUGAAAGGAGCUGCUCUUCUCUGCUAAAGCCUCCAAACAAGCUCUCAAAAUAUCUCACAAAAAAAUCAGUAUCUAAAAUACUGAUUU
rnacentral:snRNA from 1 species